AUUGAACGCUGGCGGCAGGCCUAACACAUGCAAGUCGAGCGGUAGCACAGAGAGCUUGCUCUCGGGUGACGAGCGGCGGACGGGUGAGUAAUGUCUGGGAAACUGCCUGAUGGAGGGGGAUAACUACUGGAAACGGUAGCUAAUACCGCAUAACGUCGCAAGACCAAAGUGGGGGACCUUCGGGCCUCAUGCCAUCAGAUGUGCCCAGAUGGGAUUAGCUAGUAGGUGGGGUAACGGCUCACCUAGGCGACGAUCCCUAGCUGGUCUGAGAGGAUGACCAGCCACACUGGAACUGAGACACGGUCCAGACUCCUACGGGAGGCAGCAGUGGGGAAUAUUGCACAAUGGGCGCAAGCCUGAUGCAGCCAUGCCGCGUGUGUGAAGAAGGCCUUCGGGUUGUAAAGCACUUUCAGCGGGGAGGAAGGCGUUAAGGUUAAUAACCUUGGCGAUUGACGUUACCCGCAGAAGAAGCACCGGCUAACUCCGUGCCAGCAGCCGCGGUAAUACGGAGGGUGCAAGCGUUAAUCGGAAUUACUGGGCGUAAAGCGCACGCAGGCGGUCUGUCAAGUCGGAUGUGAAAUCCCCGGGCUCAACCUGGGAACUGCAUUCGAAACUGGCAGGCUAGAGUCUUGUAGAGGGGGGUAGAAUUCCAGGUGUAGCGGUGAAAUGCGUAGAGAUCUGGAGGAAUACCGGUGGCGAAGGCGGCCCCCUGGACAAAGACUGACGCUCAGGUGCGAAAGCGUGGGGAGCAAACAGGAUUAGAUACCCUGGUAGUCCACGCCGUAAACGAUGUCGAUUUGGAGGUUGUGCCCUUGAGGCGUGGCUUCCGGAGCUAACGCGUUAAAUCGACCGCCUGGGGAGUACGGCCGCAAGGUUAAAACUCAAAUGAAUUGACGGGGGCCCGCACAAGCGGUGGAGCAUGUGGUUUAAUUCGAUGCAACGCGAAGAACCUUACCUGGUCUUGACAUCCACAGAACUUUCCAGAGAUGGAUUGGUGCCUUCGGGAACUGUGAGACAGGUGCUGCAUGGCUGUCGUCAGCUCGUGCUGUGAAAUGUUGGGUUAAGUCCCGCAACGAGCGCAACCCUUAUCCUUUGUUGCCAGCGGUUAGGCCGGGAACUCAAAGGAGACUGCCAGUGAUAAACUGGAGGAAGGUGGGGAUGACGUCAAGUCAUCAUGGCCCUUACGACCAGGGCUACACACGUGCUACAAUGGCAUAUACAAAGAGAAGCGACCUCGCGAGAGCAAGCGGACCUCAUAAAGUAUGUCGUAGUCCGGAUUGGAGUCUGCAACUCGACUCCAUGAAGUCGGAAUCGCUAGUAAUCGUAGAUCAGAAUGCUACGGUGAAUACGCUCCCGGGCCU
rnacentral:rRNA from 1 species